GCUUACGGCCAUACCACUCUGACCACGCCCGAUCUCGUCCGAUCUCGGAAGCUAAGCAGGGUCGGGCCUGGUUAGUACUUGGAUGGGAGACCGCCUGGGAAUACCCGGGGGGUAUUGC
rnacentral:rRNA from 15 species